ensembl:lncRNA
UAUAGAAGAUCUAUGGAUGGAUAUGUAUAUAUAUUCAUAUGGAUAUGAACGGAUACGAAUAUAUAUAUAUAUAUAUAUAUAUAUAUGCCAUAUAGACUACAGGGAUGUACCCAGAAUUAGAAAUAUACCCAAAUGACCUGGAUUAAAAAAAUAUCUAUUCUACACACACUGCUUAUCGGACACUUUUUGCUUCUUAUAUUAAAGCGCACUUGUAAACAAACAGAGAACUGAAUUUCAGCAUCAAGGCACAAAGAAAUAUCAGUCAAGAGCGGAGGCGUCCAUGUGUGAGGUUUCAUUUGCGAGGGGGAGGAGGUGGCGGUCAGCGCCGGGCCCAUGGCUCCUCCGGCAUUUAAUUAAAAGCAAACAUGGAGGAAUGUGGACGUGAACAGUCCUCCCCCCCUUACACACACACACACACAUACAGAGCAAUCACCCAGGAAGGAAAAACAAAGGACCCUCGCUGGAAGUAGCACGCCACCCCCGGCCCGAAUGAAUGGAAGGCUGCUACAAUAACUCUUUUUUUGCACACUCAUCACUCCUCAAUCAGCCUCCCGGCAGAGGAGGAGGAGCUUACCGGUAAAUUGCAGGAGUUCUUCGUCCUCUGCCCGACAGCAGGGGUUUCCAAUCAAACCCGUCGCCUGCUUCAGGAAGGCAUCUGAUUGGAAGAGGCCUGACUCAGCAUUGUUAUCGCUGUCUGGGGUUUGUUUUGGGGGUUUUUUUUUCUUCCCCGUUUUAUACCAGGUUCCCAAACAAAAACUUUCUUCACACGACCUGAAAUGCAAAACGAACCUUAAGAGCUUCCCAAGCUUCCUUCAUGAGACAAAACCACAAAAACGCUGCGUAAUUCCGAAUGGCAGAAAUGAGAACAGCGUUCACUUCAGAAGCGUUUCAGAUUGCAUCCAAAGUUAAAGAUUUUCUUGAAGUUAGUACACCAGAUGUCUGCGUGUCCCAGACAUCUGUCUGUGAGCUCCCUGGUUGCCAAUUUAACGACCCUCAUUUGCCGCACCACCAGCAGAGACCAAUGAGGCGUACAGACACAAAAGAGUGCAACUCGCUGCCAGGCUCGCAGUCCUUCUCUUUGGGGCCUCUGUGCUUGAAUACAGGCCUCGUUUGCCAGCUCCCAUCAUGCAGCAGAGGGCAAAAUGUCCCCAGACAGACUCAAUGGGCAUACUGUGCUCUAGAUGAAACGGCCAUGAAGCCACGAUAAGGCCCCCGACUCCAAGUUUACUCCAUUUUCUCCCGCUGUUGCGAAAUCCAGUUUGAAAACAUUCGUUCAUCUUCAGGCUGGUUCUGGGAUCCGAAGACUAUCCCGGGAACGCUGCGCUCGAGGUAGCGAUACACUCCGUCCAGCAUGCACAGAAGCCUAGGAGCCAGCUGUCUUAGCCAAUCCAGGACAGAGGAAGCUGGAGAAAAGUUGCGCAGACUGACGUUAACCCGAGCUCGCUGUCGAACCACGGACCCUGGAGCUACAACUAGGAAACUGCUAACGCUAACCUAUAAUAAAAAUAAAUGGCUCCAUCCUGGACACAAUAGGUGUUAAAGCUGUCAAAUCCCCAUUAAGAAUACAGUGCGUGAGGCAGAGCUAUACGACGGAUCCGAAUCGACGAUAUCCCGUGCCCGGGAACGACAUUAAACAUCUUGCAGUGCCAGCUCGGAAUAGGAGCACCAUUUAUUAUAUAAGCUCAUUACAGAGAGGCCAUCAGAUGGAUAGGAAAAGGAGAUCAAAUGAGAUCUCGGCCGUCUGUACGAUCACAUGCAGAGCACGGAUGGUUCAGGCCUGCCGCUUUGCUCUCCCAAGAAUUAAUCAGCGAGACAGUCUGUGUUCCCAGCAGCGUAAUAUGUUAAGCUGUAUAAAAUCCGCUUCCUCUUCUUCCUCUCUUCAGACGAAAGUAGAAAGGGCUUUGACGCUGGAAAGAAACUCGGGAAACACAGGAGCUAGAGACCGACAGCUGAGAUUCGCGCUAUACACCUAGACCCUAAAAAGUGGUGAUUCAAUCGGACGCACAUAUGAUACGCGCAUAAUAUAAUAUACCCGGACUUCCUGUUCACGUCUAUCGCGCCACGAGGCACAGUUCCCUCCGAAACUACUGGAACGGCAGGGCCGGUUCAUUUAUUUAUUUCUGUAGACUGAAGACGUUGGGGUUUGAGAUCGUCACCCCGUCGUUUAUUUGCUGAUAUUUAUAUGCGGACGUGAGAAAAUGAGAAAAACGCGAGCCAUUUUGAAGCUGGGAAAAGAGGGGAAAUCUAAAAGAGGCAUUAAGCGUAGCCGAUACAACGAUUUGGGACGUCCUGAAAAAGAAAGAAACCACUGGUGUACUGAGCGACGGACACAAAAUGGGUCACAACAGAAACGUUGUGAGAAAACCCCCAAAAACAACAGUCAGUGACAUCACCAGCAACCUCCACAGGGCAGGGGUGAAGGUACAGGACCACAAUCCACUGUUUGAAGAAGACUUCGAGAGCAGAAUUAUAGAGGACGCACAAGAUGCAGUCCACUCAUCAGCAGGAAGAGUCAGAAAGCCAGAUUGGAAUUCCCAAAGAAAUACAGAGAGAAAGUUCUGGAACCGAGAUGAACCUCUAGCAAAGAGAUGGAAAGGACAAAGUGUGGAGAAAGAAAGGAUCUGCUCAUGAUCCGAAACGUACAAGCUCAUCUGUGAAACAUGGUGGAGGUAGCGUCAUGGCUUGGGAUCGCGCGUCUGCUUCUGGAACAUUCUCACUCAUCUUUAUUGACGAUGUAACUCAUGAGGGUAGCAGCAGAAUAAAUUCAGAAGUCCACAGAAACAAGCUGUCUUCCAAUUAUUCCAAGUAUUACUGCAUGAACUUCAUCAUGCAGCAAGACAAUGAUCUAAACCUCACUGACGACUCAACAAAGGACUUUAAAAAAGCCUGGAAAGGCAUAAUGAAAGAAAAACCCAACAGUUUGGUGAUGUCAAUGAGCCGCGCUUGAUGCAGUUAUUGCACGCGAGGGAAAUUCAACCAAAUAUUAAAUGUCAUUUACUUUAAUGUACUUCAAGACUGGUCUGUUCCUAUACUUUUGCACACCUACAAAUUGGAUGGACGGAUACGAACCGUUCUACGUUUUACGUUGUUUAACACGUCUAGAUGUAAACACCAGGAAAUAAAAGCUGGAAUCUCGUCUCGUGCCCAUCGUUUGAUCUCGAACCCGAACGUCUUUGGUAUGGAAGUAUUUUCUAAACUGAUUGCGAAUGGUAUUGUGUCGUACGCAGACCCGGCCAAAAUACAAACGGAGCUGCAACUCCCUUUGCAUUUGCAUUUGCGAUGCCUUGCACAGAAACCUGUCAGUGUUGAGGCUGGGGGUUUAGUAAUGGGGUGUGUUGGUAUUUGGAAGUGAUGCGAGUCACCGUCGACGCCCGAGAAGGAGAACGUGCUGAUUGAAGGCAGAGUGUAGAAUUUGUGAGGUAAAGAUGUCACAUCGAGCAGGGUCUGUUAACGACCUUCACAGGCAUACUGGAAUUAUCCAUCUAGAUUUGCACAUCGUAAUGUGUGUUGUUUUUUUUAUUUGUUAUAUGGCACGCCGUGGUCCGUUUCUGAAUGGAAUUUGUUUGGAAUGGUUUGUGUUUUGGACGGUUCGAUAUAAAUAAAGUGUUCAAUACACGUGUAAUAGUGUUUGACGUUUUUUUACGUUAUUUAAGGUUUUUAUACCAUCCAUAAUGUAAAACUGUGGUAUUUGAGAAACUGUAAGGCUCCGUAUAAUUACGCUCAGCAAUCCAAGUGAUAUACGUGCACACAUACCAAUCAUAGGUCGAAACAUUUGCUACGUUUGGCUGAAUUAUAAAAGCAAGAAGUGGUACUAAAUGAUGAGCUGUUUGGGAGCCGAAAGAGCUGGGCUGAGCUGGGCCAAAUGAUCUGGCUCAAUGAAAACUUCUUGGCCGUUGUCCGCAAGGCGCUCUGAAAUGCGGUCGACUGUGAGUUUGGACGUUACGUCGAAAUACAAACACGUCCUCCCACAUAUACUCCCACCGCCAACACUGAUUCGGUUUCUGUGCGAGGCAUUGGAAAUGCACAUGCGAAAGGGAGUUGCGAUUCCAUUAGAAUUUUGGCAGGCUGCAUACGUCACGCCGAGGACGUGAAAUCGCAAACGGGGUAAUUGCUAUUGCUAUUUCGAUAUGACAGGCUCAUAACUCGUAAGACAUGGGAAAAAUGGACUUUGCUUUUCCGUUUGAAACUUGGCAGACAUUGUACGUCCGUGUAAAUGAAAAUGCAACGGGUAAUGCGCGAUUUGAAUUUAGGAAACGCGACCGCAGGUACAAUUCGCAAUUAGUUUUGAAAAUAGUCCGUAAAACACUUCCAUACUUUGGGCUACAACACAAGCACAUGGAUUGGCCUUUCCAUUCCAAUAGUUUCGGAGGGGACUAUAUAAGAGUUCACAUUUGAAACAUUAAACAAUUCAUACUAGCAAGUACCGAAUUUACAGUAUGACAUAAUAAAGAAUUGACAUUACGAAGUAAUAAAGAAUUGACACUGAGUUAAUCAAGAAUUUACACUAUACGGUAAUACAAAUUAAUACUAUGAGAUAUUAAAGAAUUUAAACUAUGAGGUAAUAAAGAAUUGGCACUAUGAGAUAAUACACAGUUUACGGUAUGAGGUAAUAAGCAACCUACACUAUGAGAUAAAGAAUUUACUCUAUGAGAUAAUAAAGAAUUGGCACUGUGAGGUAAUAAACAAACUACACUAUGAGAUAUUAAACAAUUGACACUAUGAGUUAAUGAACAAUUGACACUAUGAGUUUAUUAAAAAGUUGCACUUAGAGGUAAUAAAGAGCUGACACUAUGAGAUAUUAAAUAAUUUAAACUAUGAGGUAAUAAAGAAUUUACACUAUAAGGUAUUGAAAAUGUACACUAUGAGGUAAUAGAACGCAUCUAUGAGGUAGUGAACACUAUGAGGUAAUAGAACGCAUCUAUGAGGUAGUGAACACUAUGAGGUAAUAGAACGCAUCUAUGAGGUAGUGAACACUAUGAGGUAAUAGAACGUAUCUAUGAGGUAGUGAACACUAUGAGGUAAUAGAACGCAUCUAUGAGGUAGUGAACACUAUGAGGUAAUAGAACGUAUCUAUGAGGUAGUGAACACUAUGAGGUAGUACAGAUCUAUAAUAGCUAUACUACAGAAGAUCUAUAACAGAUGAGCAUGAUGAUGUCAUAACUGUGUAAUUACACUGCUGUAGUCACUAGUGUCAAUGCUAAAAUAUCAAAUAAAUACCUGAACGUACCAUAUGGAGAAUUAAAAUGGACACUGAACAUCACAAAGGUUCAAUGUUAACUUCUUCUCCAACCUUUUCUCUUCAAAAAAAAAAAUCAACCUAAUUUCUUCUGUCCCCGACAUAGAUAUUUUUUGUAUUUUCACGACUAUUUUAGGCUAAACACAAGCUAGUGUCUGUAGUUAAGGUAACCCUUUAAACGAGCCCACAUUAUCGCGAUGUACUUUCGCCUCGCUGAAAGAGGUUUCAUAACAAAACACUGGCUUUCUGUUAGCGCCUUUUUUUCCUCUGCCGAGACAUCUGAGAUGACACUUGAGCGCCAGUUUUCUAACAGAAUAUAAAUCAACCUACAGAAACGUUCCCGAUCGGGCAUGAGGUCUGCGGCUCGCCUCGCCGUAUCCUCCCGUUCCUCUGUCAUUUCGCUUCAUGUCUCGCUCUGCAGCUGACUGACGACAAAUAACACCAUUUGUUUAUUUUUACUGCAUGCGCAACUGGAUUGGACCCUUUUUUUUUUGUUGUUGCAUUGCCAGAGGUUAAACAUUCAAGUGGAGUGAAUAGGCAUUAAUGACACUGUUCAGUUCAACAGAUCGGACCACCUGAAAAAAACUGAUCACCAACUUGUCCCUAUGUGGUGUGUUACCUGCCCUGGGCAUUCAGCCGAUCGUUACUCUCGAACCCUGACCAUUCCCAUUAUUAUCGAGAUGAUAUUCAGGAUCAUACAAUAAACCCAUCACUGCAAUACUGUUCUGUGACAUCCAUACCAGGUUUAAAAUAUAAUCGAAAAAUCUCUGAAACACCCCUGCCCUACUUCCAGGGUGAAAUAAACCCAGUGACAUGGCGACCGUAAAAAAGCACCAUUUUGGCUGUCAGACCGUUCCCGAAUAAUUUAACCACCAUCACUUUAUUUCCAGUCCAAUUAGGCUCACCGAUGGCGUAUGCGAUGCGAUAUAAACGCACGGUCUCGACAUACAGAUGGCCUGAAUACAGAGUUCAUACUGCAGAGCACAACCGGGUUAAAUACGCCUGCGCGUCAACAACGACCGAUCGAUUUCUUUUAUUAUGCAGCACGGAUCAAUCAACCCACAAGCAGCCUCGGUAUAAAAGAGACGUCCGGUGUGCGAAUCGAGUGUCCGCGGCGUAUCGGAACAAGCCAAGGAUCUACGUGAUAGAUUACUAGUAAGAUAGCUGAUUGUUAUCAAAACUGUUAAUGAGUUAUAGCGGUGCGUUGAGUUGAAGUUCUGCUAACAGCAGUGGUGCUGUUGUGGUCUGUGGGGUUGAGGAAUUGAUCGAUCGGCCCUGAAUCAGCCCGAGGUGGUCCGAAUAAGACAAAAUGACCGGCGUGUAGGUGAACAUCUGUGAACGGUGGAGCGACGCGCCAGUUAAACGUGUUCGUUUAUUACCACUCAGUUGCUGCAUGAGGAAAAACAUUAAGUACGAAAAAAAGAUUCUUCCCUAUUCUGUGACGACGGAGACUCGCACACGUACGUACACCGGCCGACCGACGGAUCGAUCCGAAGCCCCGAGGAAACAUGUUAGCGUUACUGAUGCUGAUGUAUCACAAAAUGGACAACUUUUUUUUUUUCCCUUCUUUCAGCUGGCUCGCGAAAGGGAAGGUCUAGUGUUUUAUCUGGGAGCACGCUAAUUAGAUAAGUGAAAGUGCAGCAUCAAUAAAGCUAAAAUACAGAAUGAGAUUACCAUAACCCACAUCUGUCCACUGCUCUACACGCUCUACGCGUUAUCGGACACGGGAUCUAGAGGUCCCGAUUGAAGGUUUCUACCGAUCGCAGACACGGUUACUGCUGCAAAAGAAUCACGUACUGUAUAUGAAAAUUUACUACCACAUAACAACAGUAAAAUCCAGAUCGCUCCUGCGCUCGGGUGCGCGCUGGAUUAUUAAUGCCUGACUCGUUCGCAGGACCGCGGAUGUCACCAUGGUAACCAAGCUCAGGUGCGAUUGUGAACUAUGACGUCACCUUAACUGAGGGUUUCAGACCAAAACACAAAGACCGAGCAGUGAUACAAAUUCUGAUCUUCUCUUUUUAGAAAUAUCUAGAAGGAAUAUUAUUUGCUUUGAAGUGGGGGGGGGGUAAUUCUAUUCAGUGUAAUAAUGAUGGAGAUGGAGAAAAAUUCUGCUCUGUGAAUUAUUUAGUAAUUACAGUGGAACUAACAGGAAGUAUAGUCGUAAGAUGCGUUCACAUCUGGAGUCCUGGGAUCAACUGAAGGGGAGUAACAUCCUGAAAUCCCCAAAUCAAGGCUUCGUUCUUGUGUUUGCUAGCCGUAUUAUUGAACGAUGCCGCAUUUCCGACAUGCUUAAGCACUUACUGGGGUCUACGGCUACGCCAGGCAUCGCUACGAUGUAAUCAGAGGCCUUCGUUUACAGCGACGAUAUUUAUACGUUCAUUUCCAGUGCCUGCUCGGUCCUGGUCGGGUGUGAGGACGUCCCGGCACGCACGCGAGUCCGGCGCACAGCAUCGUGGACACACGCUUUCGCAUACAGGGGUUCUUUCGAGUCACCAGUCUGCCUACUGCUACGUUUCGGGAAGCUGGAAGGAAAGCAGAGAACCCUGAGGAAACAGACGCUGACCUGAGACCGGGAUCGAAGCUGCCGUGCCGCCCGCAAACUUUUCACCCUUCGUGGCAAAGGUGUGAUACUUGAAUUUUUAUUCCUUAUUUGUAGAAAUAACCGGGAGGGUACAUCGAACGUGAUGAAACACAAUGGAUUACGCUGAGGCCUUAGCAAAGGUGUAUUGAGUCGCUGAGGAAAAGCGUUCGGAAAUCUGACGUCUGGCUUGGACUGCUUGUUUGUGUUUGUAUACGCCUCCUGUCAGUCAUUUUACAGACGCUCAACUCCGUCUUACUUAAUGCACAUUAAAAUCCCCGUGAAGAGUCUUGAAACGCACAGCCUUAUUCGACGUGCUGAUGUAAUUUCCACCGAAAUGACUGAAUCUCGAGCGGCUCCUCCCCCCUUUCUAAACAGCCAAUAGCGUUUUGCUUACCUCACAGCCCGGGCUAAAUCUGAAUAGAAAACAGACACGUGCUCGCCGAUAUGAUUCCUCUCGCUCAACGACGGCAACUUCGGCAAUUAUUUAUAAGGUUGUGGGCGGGACAAGCUGAAGUGCAGAACGACGUCAUGGAAACCGUUGAUGCGUAUUGAUGUUAGAGUGAAACUGUACGUUCUGAGUGCGUAUAUCUUCUAAAUACGGGUUUAGUCGUCGUUCUGGAGCGCACUAGCUCAUAGAUAACCGUAGCGCUGACUCAUAUCCGUACUAAAAGCCGCAAAAUUCCCUAUUUCAAGAGGAUUUUUAACAAAGUAAGGUACGGUAUUUCAUCCUCGACGCAAGCCAAGAAUCGACGCGUGCACCGGCGCCAAACUGAUCCGAUCUGAUUUAAGUCUCUUACGGUCUCCUGUUCCUUGCAUUCAUAACGAUUUCGUUGCAUUUGAUCACGACAGCACCACGACGUUGUACCGCCUGUACCGCGGAAAUAUAUCAAGAAGUGUCGCCCAGAACAGGACGGUGAGUCAGGGCGCUCUCGCGGCUUCGUCCUCAUGAUGUCUCAGGGAGUUUUUCCCUCGCCGCCGUCGCUCGUUAAGUUUCCAGAUCUACUUCCUGCGCUGUGAGCAUGUCCGGUGCUAAAAGCACUAUCUAAAAAAAAAAUGAACCGGACUGGAAGUGCGAGUGAUUUCCGGCGGUUGAGAAGAUUCGAGGGAGGUUAUCAGGUUACCCAGAGUGCAUCCUUUUCUCUGUGAAACGCUGAAGGUGUGCAUGGUGCUAGACUUUCAUUUAAAAUAGGUAAAUAUUCACCAUUCGGUCUUCUUAUCCGGCCGAACCAGGUUCGGCGGGCUGUGAAACCAGCUCUGGGCCUGUUUCCGUGAGUGCACAUGGUCAAGUAGACAUGAUGAUGGUGAUGAUGGUGAUGGUGAUGAUGGUGCUUUAAGGCUAAGCUUGGAGAGAACAUAUAUAUACACACAUAUAUAUAUAUAUAUAUAUGUUCUCUCCAAGAACAUC